rnacentral:rRNA from 1 species
GACGAAUGCUGGCUGCGUGCUUAACACAUGCAAGUCGAACGGUGAAGGAGGGCUUGCCCUCCGGAUCAGUGGCGAACGGGUGAGUAACACGUGGGCAGCCUGCCCCUCACUCUGGGAUAACGCCGGGAAACCGGCGCUAAUACCGGAUACGACCAGGCGCGACAUCUCGCCUGGUGGAAAGAAUUUCGGUGAGGGAUGGGCCCGCGGCCUAUCAGCUAGUUGGUGGGGUAACGGCCCACCAAGGCGACGACGGGUAGCCGGCCUGAGAGGGCGACCGGCCACACUGGGACUGAGACACGGCCCAGACUCCUACGGGAGGCAGCAGUGGGGAAUAUUGCGCAAUGGGCGAAAGCCUGACGCAGCGACGCAGCGUGAGGGACGAAGGCCUUCGGGUUGUAAACCUCUUUCAGCGGGGACGAAGCGAAAGUGACGGUACCCGCAGAAGAAGCACCGGCUAACUACGUGCCAGCAGCCGCCGUAAAAC